AUUAUAUUGUUACAAAAGCUAUACGCGAUACAAAAUGUGCCUACUUCACAACAUCGUUGCCUCUGCGUUUCUCGGUGGAAUUGUCUACUGGUUGAUUUACCACAUGAGGCGUCUGCCCUUUUAUCAAAAAGCUUGGAAAUUCUCUGGGCCAUCCAUAGUUCUACCGAUUUUGGGCAAUGCGCUGUAUUUCGCCGGAAAUACUGAAAAUAUCUUGAACAAAUUCACCGAAUUAUCGCGGGCGUAUCCUUCGCCUUAUCGCGUCUGGCUUGGGUCUGAAUUGUUGAUCAUUUUAUCUCGACCCGAGGAAAUAAAGACAGUUCUGUGGAGCGAGAAGGCGAUCGAGAAGACAAGAUUUUUCGAAUUUUUUCAACCAUGGUUGGGAAAUGGCUUGUUCACUGCACCUGGUGAAAUAUGGCGUGUGCGUCGAAAGUUGAUCGGACCAACUUUCAAUUUGAGAAUUCUGGAGUCGUUUGUGACUGUAUUCGCAGUCCAAUCAAACGUGAUGGUGAGGAAAAUGGAAACUGAAUUAAACGGGGAGGAAUUCCUCGUUUUCGAUUACGUGUCAAUGUGCACUUUGGACAUAAUUUGCGAAACUGCAAUGGGUGUGAGUGUAGGAGCCCAAGUCAAUAACCAUUCCAGUUACGUGGAAGCAGUAGAAAAAUCGCUCAAAAUCAUCUACCGGCGAGCAUUCAGCAUUUGGUUGCACCCGCCAGCGAUUUUCAAUCGCACGCAAGCGGGGAAAGAACAAAAUAAGCACAUAAAAACCAUGCAUAAUUUUACUAGCAACGUAAUUCAGAGGAAGAGGAAAGCUUUGCUGAAUCGGAAUACUAAAAAGACUGCAGUCAAAUACGGUGAAGAUACCGAAAGUGAUUCGCCAUCUGAAAGAAAGGCCUUCUUGGAUUUGUUGAUGCAGUUAACAGACGAUAAGAUGAAAUUCUCGGAUUCGGAACUUCGUGAAGAAGUUGACACAAUGAUUGCUGCCGGUAGCGACACGACCUCCAACACAGUCAGUUUCGUUAUGUUGAUGCUGGCUUCUUAUCCGGAUAUACAGGAGAAGGCUUACCUUGAACUUUGUGAAAUUUAUGGAAGUUACGAUUCCAAUAAGCGUAUCGUGACAUACGAGGACUUGCCACGUAUGAGGUAUUUGGAACUUGUGAUAAAAGAAACGAUGCGUGUACUUCCAAUCAUAGCGUUGAUCACUCGCACAAUAACUGACGAUUUGGACAUAGGUGAAUAUACUCUGCCAAAAGGAAGUUUGGCUGUUAUUGACAUCCUGAGCAUACACAGAAACGAGGAAUUCUGGCCAGAUCCACUCAAGUUUAACCCGGAUCGAUUUUUGCCUGAUGAAGUGGCUGAACGCCAUGCUUAUUGCUACAUACCAUUUAGUGCGGGACCAAGAAACUGCAUUGGUUUAAGGUUCGCCAUGAUGGCUAUGAAGACAAUCCUGGCGACAAUGCUCCGCAGAUAUAUCAUAAAAAAAGAUAAGAUUGUGCCGUUAGACGACGUGAAGUUAAAAUCGGAGGGUGUAACCAAACCAGUUGAACCAAUCAUGCUGCGAAUAGAAGAGCGAAGACGGCGGAUGAAUUUCGCGAGUACUUUUGCCUAAAUGUAUACAACGUGAUUGCUGUUUUCGAAACCUGGCGCAAUGACCAGGCACUGGAUGUACAGAUGAUGUUGCCAUCUUACAAACUGCACAGGGUUUAUCGUCAAGGGCCGUAUGGGAUCGCCGUUACCUUAUUCGAACGCCAGGAGCUUUGCUCUGUAACGGUUGCUACGUCCACUGCUCUUGCAGCGGAUGAAUAUCCUGAAUACCUUCUAAUAGAAGUCAGUGCUGAUGCUGGAAUACAGAUUUUGUUCAUGAUCGGAUAUAGGCCUCCUAAAGGUUACGAUAUCAUGCCACGCAGACUGCUCAUUACAUGGCUACUUCUGAUACCUGGCUCGAUGCUUGUGUACUGUCAACAACAUUAAUCUCCUGGAAUCCAGCGAUCAAUCGUCGCGGCCGUUUCUCUCAGGGCACGAUCUCAUAUAUUCUGUCGACAGCUGUGGUGCACCUAGGCAGGAGCCGCGCGUUAUUCGAUACCGAUCGUGGAUCGUGCCGAUUUUGAUGCUGCCUCUUCUGCCUUGUCUACGCUUGACUUCUCGCAGUUUGCAUGGCUGCUUUUUGUGGAUAGGAUCAUGAACGGGUGUUCAUCAGUCUGCAAUAAUCUCAUGAAUGAAGUACGGGAUUGCGUCGUGCCUGUCGAGGAACUUACUUUGCGGCGUUUACCUGCGACUUGGAUAUCGCUAGAUAUCAGACACCUGAUGAAAAAGCACAACGCCUGGGAUCGGUCCUUUAAGAGAUCUCGCAGUGCGAAAGGUUUCGCCAAAUAUAUCACCUAUCGUAGAGACAUAAAGCGUGCUUUAACAGCCGCCAAGACUGAUGGCAUACAAGAGCGGCUUAAUACUCGUGGUGGUGCGCAAUCCUUUUGGUAUGAGAUGAAGAACAUCGGUCUUACCAACUACUGUCUACUGGGGUUUUGAUUGAUGACCAUAAUGAACACUUUGUGUCUAGCUCCGUGGGUUUGCAGUAUCAUGACCCGGCAGUUCAAAAUCCUGUCAAGAGGUAGAGACAAUCCUUCACCUUCUCAUCGAUCGCGAACAGAUGUGUCAACGGGGCGCUUGUAGGGAUUACAACUCGUGCAUGUGGUCCCGAUAACCCUCCGAUAUAGGCUUUCAAGACACUGAAAGAUUUACUGAUGCCGCUGAUGGUGUAUUUUCUGAACUCCCUCCUAACAACGGUAUCGGUGCCACCGUUGGGAGGAUCCUCAAUUGUUAUACCUAUAACGAAGGUUCGCGAUCCCAUUGGUCCGUCAGAUUUUAGACCAAUUUCGCUUCCCUGCACGUUUUCUACAGUGUUUUAACGGAUAGUGCAUGAUCAACUCGCGGUGCAUUUAGCGCGCGUUAAUUACCUCGAUUCACAUCAGACUGGUUCUCGUGAGGGCAUGGGAACACAAUCAGCCGUCUUGCGUUUUGAGGAUAACUUGUAGACUUGCGGACUUGUAGGAUGAUCUCAUGGUGAUCGUUGGUGGUGUUUCUGGACUUCUCCAAAGCGUUCAACAUGGUAAACCAUGCAUUGCUUCUGUCGAAGCUGCGAUCUUUCGGACUGACAACGUGCUUGACUGUUUCAACUCGUAACCGUCUGAUCGCACUACGGUUUUACAAACAGGUCUGGGAACUCGGCUAUUUUUAAGUGGUGGGGAUUGUCACCGUUAGUGUGACCAAACUGUGUUCGUCGUUUGUCCACAAGCUGCGCUGUCGUACUAGGGUAUUGUAAAUAUACAUAUGCAGUUGCAGAUCACCUUGUAGAGCCUCGUAGUCGUGGUGUACAUUCACAUAAUAAAACAAUUUUUGAAAAAUA
rnacentral:misc_RNA from 1 species